CCUCUAUGUCUGCGUGUGUUUGUGUGUAGUCCUGAUAAAAUCGACGAUAUCUGCACUCCCUCUCUCCCAUCCCCCACCCCCUUGCGCCCUCGGGCGCCGUCUUCGCCAGAUGCUCCCUUCGGCUGCCAUGUUCUUUGCAAAAGUGAUCUUCCUCGUGGGCCUCUUAGUCUUCUUCUUCCACACGGUGCGCUUCACUUGCUGCGCCACCUUCACGGCGGUCACCCCGAUGUCCCCUGCCGUCCAGCUCUUCAACAAAGCCUAUGCGGAGGAACUCAAGGCAUGCCUUCAACGGUAUUAGCUGCUUGUGUGCCGAGGUGAGGUGGCUGAGGAAGGGCGUCGACAACUGCAAGUGCUAACUUCGCACCUCAUUGUCACCGAAGGGACUCCAUCGAGAGCGGUGUCGCACACGCACACGCUUCUCUCGUGAGAUGAACGUGUAGGUGUGUAGGUGUGUGUACGUCUACGGUGCUGUGGUACGGCUGUCGCUGCCUCGCCUUGCCGGCGCUCACAACAUGCGCGCGUACGGCCAAUGCUACCUUGGCUGUAGUCGUACUGGUGCUGCUGUUCUUGUUUUUUGUUUUCGGUGUUUAGUUGCUAUUUGGCUUACUCCGUCUAACGCUCUGGCGCCGCGUCCGCGCGGUGGAAGGAGUGAGCCAUGGAGAAAGGGGGAACGGCGAAAGGCAGGAGUAGGGCGGCUGCUCCACUCGUCACGUUCCGUGUCGUGGGACGUGCUAGUGCCAUCACCUACGCACAUGCACAUGCGCACAGAGCCCUCCUCCCCUCAGUCCUUCUCCUCACCGCUACUCCUUCCAAUGCCCUUCUCCAACGGAACGCGGCAGCCCACGAAAGGAGAGAAGGAGCCCGCGUCGUCUCUCUCUCUCUCUCUGCGGGGCACG
rnacentral:misc_RNA from 1 species